rnacentral:rRNA from 1 species
AGAGUUUGAUCAUGGCUCAGGAUGAACGCUAGCUACAGGCUUAACACAUGCAAGUCGAGGGGAAACGACAUCGAAAGCUUGCUUUUGAUGGGCGUCGACCGGCGCACGGGUGAGUAACGCGUAUCCAACCUGCCCAUCACUUGGGGGAUAACCUUGCGAAAGUAAGACUAAUACCCAAUGAUAUCUCUAGAAGGCAUCUGAAAGAGAUUAAAGAUUUAUCGGUGAUGGAUGGGGAUGCGUCUGAUUAGCUUGUUGGCGGGGUAACGGCCCACAAAGCAACGAUCGGUAGGGGUUCUGAGAGGAAGGUCCCCCACAUUGGAACUGAGACACGGUCCAAACUCCUACGGGGAGGCA